UGCCUUCAGUGUUGCCCGUUCAUCUUGGUUGCUAAUGAAUGUGGUGUCAGAGAAGGCAUAAAACAACUUCCCCCCCCCGUGCAGCAUUUUCCUAUGCCAGGAAUUGUUCCUAGCUGGUUUGCUGUGUGUGGGACAACC